CGAACGAGGGUCCUUCGGGACUCGAGUGGCGAACGGGUGAGUAACACGUAGGGAACCUGCCCGUGCGACCGGGAGAACUUUCGGAAACGGAAGCUGAUACCGGAUAGGGACAGAGACGGCAUCGACUCUGUGUUAAAGGAGCUGAAAGGCUCCGCGCACGGAUGGACCUGCGGUGCAUUAGCUGGUUGGUGAGGUAACGGCCCACCAAGGCGACGAUGCAUAGCCGGCCUGAGAGGGCGGACGGCCACACUGGGACUGAGACACGGCCCAGACUCCUACGGGAGGCAGCAGUAGGGAAUUUUCGUCAAUGGGCGCAAGCCUGAACGAGCAAUGCCGCGUGAACGAGGAAGGUCUUCGGAUCGUAAAGUUCUGUUGAAGGGGAAAAAGAGCGGAGAGAGGAAAUGGUCUCCGAUUGAUAUUACCCUUCGAGGAAGUCACGGCUAACUACGUGCCAGCAGCCGCGGUAAUACGUAGGUGGCGAGCGUUAUCCGGAAUGAUUGGGCGUAAAGGGUGCGUAGGCGGCCUGCUAAGUCUGGAGUGAAAGGUACCGGCUCAACCGGUACAGGCUCUGGAAACUGGCGGGCUAGAGAGCAGGAGAGGGCGGUGGAACUCCAUGUGUAGCGGUAAAAUGCGUAGAUAUAUGGAAGAACACCAGUGGCGAAGGCGGCCGCCUGGCCUGUUACUGACGCUGAGGCACGAAAGCGUGGGGAGCAAAUAGGAUUAGAUACCCUAGUAGUCCACGCCGUANACGAUGAGGACCAAGUGUUGGGGAAGACCCAGUGCUGCAGUUAANGCAGUGAGUCCUCCGCCUGGGGAGUAUGCACGCAAGUGUGAAACUCAAAGGAAUUGA
rnacentral:rRNA from 1 species